CUGAGGAGAAUACCCCGGAGUCUGGGCAGCACAGGGGGCCCAGGGAGGCUGGAGGAGGCCAGAACGCUGGGUGGGCUGGGAAGAGCUUCUGGAGCUGGGGGAGGGGCUGCUGCUAGGGGGCUGAGGCCCAGGCUUCUGUCUGGCUGUGGGUGCCUGCUAAUUGCCCCUCGUCACCCAGACCGACAUCGUGAAAGCCAUCGCCCGCCUCAUUGAGUUCUAUAAGCACGAGAGCUGUGGCCAGUGUACCCCAUGUCGUGAGGGUGAGCAUCGGGCAGGUUGGGGGUCUGCUCGCUGUGGCUUCAUUUAACCUCCACCCCACCGCGUGGCCUGUACCCCUCAAGCGCCGCCCCACAUCCUGGCUGGGGAGAUCAUCAGGCCCUCUCUUGUGGCUGUGGCUGCAGGUGUGGACUGGAUGAACAAGGUGAUGGCACGUUUCGUGAGGGGGGACGCCCAGCCGGCCGAGAUCGAUUCCCUGUGGGAGAUCAGCAAGCAGAUAGAAGGCCAUACGAUUUGUGCUCUGGGUGACGGGGCCGCCUGGCCUGUGCAGGGUCUGAUCCGCCACUUUCGGCCGGA
rnacentral:sRNA from 1 species